UAUUUUGGCUUAAAAGCUAGCUAAAUGUUUGUGUUUAUAUAUAAGGCAUAUUGAUUUUAUAGGGGGUUUUGUAGUAUGUAGUUUUAAGUAUUAGGGGGUCCUAGACUUGGUAAUUUAUUUUAGUACGAACAAAAUUUGUGCCAGCAGUAGCGGUUAUACAAAUUGUGCAAGGUAAUUUGAUCGAGUAUAGUUAGGAGGAGAAAGAAGAAGGGAGAGAAGGUUUUAUGGCGUUUUUAGGUGAAAUUUUAUAGCUGUAGGAAUUCUUAUUUUAGGUUUUGAUGCUGGGAUACUGGGUGUGAAACUAGGAUUAGAUACCCUGCUAUUCUCGGUGUUAGGUUUAUGCUUGAAUUAGUGUAAGUUAAGGUCUUUAAAAUUAAAAGAUUUGGCGGUAUUUUAGUCUGUUCAGAGGAACCUGUUAUUUAAUCGAUAGUCCACGAUGACAGCAAUCUUCUUUCUAAAUUUAUAUAUCGUCGUUUGUAAAAAUUUUAUUAGAAUAAUAAUUUUUAUUUUGUAAUAUAAUAGCUUAUUUCAGAUCAAGGUGUAGUUUAUAGGGAGAUUAUAAUGGGUUACAUUUUUUUUAUUACUGGUUGUUUGCUUUAAAAUUGAGGAUAAAUUGGAUUUGAUAGUAAGGUCUUUAUUUAGUGGAUUUGAUUUAGCUCUAAAAUAUGCACAUAUCGCCCGUCGCUUUCACUUUAAGGUGAAAUAAGUCGUAACAUAGUAGGCUUACUGGAAAGUGUGCCUGGAAUGG
rnacentral:ncRNA from 1 species